rnacentral:tRNA from 1 species
GCUCCCGUAGCCCAAUCGGCAGAGGCAGCGACCUUAAAAGUCGCUCAGUGCGGGUUCGAAUCCCGCCGGGAGCA